rnacentral:tRNA from 1 species
GGAGAGGUGCCGGAGUGGUCGAUCGGGGCGGUCUCGAAAACCGUUGAGCCCGCAAGGGUUCCGAGGGUUCGAAUCCCUCCCUCUCCG